UCCCAUGGGUUCACCUUUCACGUACGAUACCGAAGACCCAGCACCACCAGCGGCGGCGGCGGCGGCGGCGGCAAUCCUAAGGGGGCUUCCACCGCCGGGAAGAUACCGAGCUUCUCUGUGAAAUUUCAGGACCUGUACGGGUUCACGGUGGAGGGCAACGUCGACGACGUCAAUGUCCUGAACGAGGUGAGGGAGAGGGUGAGGGAGCAAGGAAGGGUGUGGUGGGCCUUGGAAGCGAGCAAAGGCGCCAACUGGUACCUGCAGCCGCAGAUUUCAUCGUUGACCCAAGGCAUCUCCGUGGGCUCCCUCAAGUUCUCCGUCCUGGCGAACACCAUCUCCCUGCGCAGACUCAUCAGGAAGGGCAUCCCGCCGGCGCUG
rnacentral:lncRNA from 1 species